CUCGCUCUCUCUCCCUGGUAUCUCACCACUGCGUCGGUACAGUGACUGAAAGCAUCUCAUGGAUUUUGUUGUUAAAAGCAAUCACACUUUCUGCAAGACUUGCUUCCUUCUCCACAUCUCUUUAAUUCCAAUUUUCUACAUCAGGUCUGAUACCAUCUGGAACAGAGGAUGAAUUGAAUGCUGCGAACCUUUAAAUUAGCUUGAUAUUUCUAAAAACUAAGAGGAAAAGUUUUUACAUUCUUCAAGGUUGCAAGAAAGAAUAAUAAAAUGUUUCUCUUACACGGCAGACCAAGAAUUGUCAACUAAGAUGCAAUUGCAAUAAUUAUUACUGAUGAGGAUGCAAAACACAGAAAUAGCAUUACUUGCUGACAGAUCACAGGGCUAGUGUGGGUUACUAGAAGCAACAAAAAUUACAUUUCCCCUUGAAUAGAAAAUAAACUUUCUAUGGAAAUCUCUGA